CUCAUGCCACCACACCUGGCCAAUUUUCUGCAUCUUUAGUAGAGAUGGGGUUUCAUCACGUUGGCCAGGCUGGUCUCGAACUCCUGACCUUGUGAUCCGACACCCUUUUCAUCCUCUUUCAAGAAAAACACCAACAAAGUUCUGUGUGGGACAAGGACCAAGGACUGUGGUCUGAGGCUGUGCAACCACAUAGCUUCUCUAUGCCUUUAAUGCUCGAGGUAAAAAAUGAGAAUGGCCGGGGCCUUAGCUGCUGUAUUGCUGUCAUAAGGUGAAGUACUUUAUAGUAUCGUACUUCCCCACAAUAAGCACACGAGGGGAAAGAGUGGAAUGGGGCAGGGGGAAGAGGACAGGACAUGUCAGUUCACUCCAAGAAUGGGACAGAGGAGAGGGGCACCCUUGUUACAUAUAAAUGUCAUGAGAGGCGGGGCGUGGUGGUUCACGCCUAUAAUCCCAGCACUUCGGGAGCUCAAGGCGGGAGGAUCACUUGAGGUCAGGAGUUGGAGACCAGCCUGGCCAACAUGGUGAAACUCUAUCUCCACUAAAAAUACAAAAAAUUAGCUGGACAUCACGGCGAGCGCCUGUAAUCU
rnacentral:lncRNA from 10 species